CGUCUAUUCGUGACCCGGUCGCAUGCUUUUGUUGUCAUCUUGGUUCGGAAGUGUCGAACACAAUCGAGUGCAGCCUGGUGCAGCCGAGUGCGCGCCUUCAAGUCACGGAUAGAGUGUAGACUGAUGUAGGCGGAGUGCGAUGUGUGCAUCUUGUGUGUGAGGUGGGCAAUCUGCUUCGGACUCGGAAUCGCAGCAUAGUGCUGUCAUUUUCUGGUGCUGUCCAUGAACAUAGAAAUAUAUUGGCUACCGUCUUUUUUCUGUUUUCUCCGGCAAGACAUUACACGUCCUAACCUCAAACGACAUCGCUUUAAUUAUUUGAAACGAAACUGCAUCAGUAAUUUGUAAUCGCAAGUUUCACAUUUCACACAUCUCAAAAUGUCUUACAUGCUAUCGCAUUUGGAAAACGGUUAUCAAGUCGAUCAAGCCAUUUUAUCGGAAGAAGACAGAGUAGUGGUAAUUCGCUUUGGGCAUGAUUGGGAUCCAAUGUGUAUGAAAAUGGAUGAAGUUCUCUAUAAUAUUGCAGAAAAAGUUAAAAACUUUGCCGUUAUUUACUUGGUGGACAUCACAAAAGUACCAGAUUUCAAUAAAAUGUAUGAACUUUACGACCCAUGUACGGUAAUGUUCUUCUUUAGGAACAAACAUAUCAUGAUAGAUUUAGGUACCGGCAACAACAACAAAAUAAAUUGGACAUUGGAAGACAAACAGGAAAUGAUCGACAUCAUUGAAACGGUUUACAGAGGUGCAAGAAAAGGUCGAGGUUUAGUUGUCUCUCCUAAAGAUUACUCUACUAAAUAUCGAUAUUAAUUUACUUAUAAAAUAUAUGAAUGCUUUUGUAUAUUGCGAAGAUAGAUAUUAAUGCUAUAUUUGUUUCAAGGCAAGACGUUACAUAUGAAAUCAGAUGAACAAUCCUCCAAUUUUGAGUGGACAAUAUGCACUAAGAAUAUCUAUCGCUAUUAAUGUCCCUGUUCUACCUAUCCCUGCACUGUAAAGAAAGAAUAUACCUGCAAUGAACAACGAUGAAACCUUUAUUAGAGGUAAUAUUGCGGCGCAUUAUUUGGCAAAAAUUGAUCAUUGCAUCGAAAUCUUCCGGAACAUCGUGAUCGGGCCAGUCUUUAAAGUGCAGAUGAGUAAUAAUUCUUUUUUUAUUUUCCUGUAAUUAUAAUAAUACUUUUAUAGCUCUA
rnacentral:misc_RNA from 1 species